rnacentral:rRNA from 1 species
UAAGGAAUAUUGGUCAAUGGACGCAAGUCUGAACCAGCCAUGCCGCGUGCAGGAUGAAGGCGCUAUGCGUCGUAAACUGCUUUUGUACGGGAAGAAACCCCUUUACGUGUAGAGGGUUGACGGUACUGUAAGAAUAAGGAUCGGCUAACUACGUGCCAGCAGCCGCGGUAAUACGUAGGAUCCAAGCGUUAUCCGGAUUUAUUGGGUUUAAAGGGUGCGUAGGCGGAUUGAUAAGUCAGUGGUGAAAGCCUGCAGCUUAACUGCAGAACUGCCAUUGAUACUGUCGAUCUUGAGUACAUUUGAGGUGGGCGGAAUGUGUCAUGUAGCGGUGAAAUGCUUAGAUAUGACACAGAACACCGAUUGCGAAGGCAGCUCACUAAACUGUAACUGACGCUGAGGCACGAAAGCAUGGGUAGCAAACAGG